rnacentral:rRNA from 1 species
GUGUCAGCAGCCGCGGUAAUACGUAGGUGGCAAGCGUUACUCGGAAUCACUAGGCGUAAAGCGCAGGUAGGAGGUUUAGUAAGUCUGUUGUGAAAGCUCCCGGCUUAACUGGGAGAGGUCAACGGAAACUGCUAGGCUGGAGUGCGGUAGAGGUAGCUGGAAUUCCCGGUGUAGCGGUGAAAUGCGUAGAUAUCGGGAGGAAUACCUAUGGCGAAAGCAGGCUACUGGACCGUCACUGACUCUGAUCUGCGAAAGCUAGGGGAGCAAACAGGAUUAGAUACCCUGGUAGUCC